rnacentral:rRNA from 1 species
GAAUGCUGACAUAAGUAACGAUAAAGCGGGUGAAAAGCCCGCUCGCCGGAAGACCAAGGGUUCCUGUCCAACGUUAAUCGGGGCAGGGUGAGUCGACCCCUAAGGCGAGGCCGAAAGGCGUAGUCGAUGGGAAACAGGUUAAUAUUCCUGUACUUGGUGUUACUGCGAAGGGGGGACGGAGAAGGCUAUGUUGGCCGGGCGACGGUUGUCCCGGUUUAAGCGUGUAGGCUGGUUUUCCAGGCAAAUCCGGAAAAUCAAGGCUGAGGCGUGAUGACGAGGCACUACGGUGCUGAAGCGACAAAUGCCCUGCUUCCAGGAAAAGCCUCUAAGCAUCAGGUAACAUCAAAUCGUACCCCAAACCGACACAGGUGGUCAGGUAGAGAAUACCAAGGCGCUUGAGAGAACUCGGGUGAAGGAACUAGGCAAAAUGGUGCCGUAACUUCGGGAGAAGGCACGCUGAUAUGUAGGUGAAGCGACUUGCUCGUGGAGCUGAAAUCAGUCGAAGAUACCAGCUGGCUGCAACUGUUUAUUAAAAACACAGCACUGUGCAAACACGAAAGUGGACGUAUACGGUGUGACGCCUGCCCGGUGCCGGAAGGUUAAUUGAUGGGGUUAGCGGUAACGCGAAGCUCUUGAUCGAAGCCCCGGUAAACGGCGGCCGUAACUAUAACGGUCCUAAGGUAGCGAAAUUCCUUGUCGGGUAAGUUCCGACCUGCACGAAUGGCGUAAUGAUGGCCAGGCUGUCUCCACCCGAGACUCAGUGAAAUUGAACUCGCUGUGAAGAUGCAGUGUACCCGCGGCAAGACGGAAAGACCCCGUGAACCUUUACUAUAGCUUGACACUGAACAUUGAGCCUUGAUGUGUAGGAUAGGUGGGAGGCUUUGAAGUGUGGACGCCAGUCUGCAUGGAGCCGACCUUGAAAUACCACCCUUUAAUGUUUGAUGUUCUAACGUGGGCCCCUUACCGGGGUUGCGGACAGUGUCUGGUGGGUAGUUUGACUGGGGCGGUCUCCUCCUAAAGAGUAACGGAGGAGCACGAAGGUUGGCUAAUCCUGGUCGGACAUCAGGAGGUUAGUGCAAUGGCAUAAGCCAGCUUGACUGCGAGCGUGACGGCGCGAGCAGGUGCGAAAGCAGGUCAUAGUGAUCCGGUGGUUCUGAAUGGAAGGGCCAUCGCUCAACGGAUAAAAGGUACUCCGGGGAUAACAGGCUGAUACCGCCCAAGAGUUCAUAUCGACGGCGGUGUUUGGCACCUCGAUGUCGGCUCAUCACAUCCUGGGGCUGAAGUAGGUCCCAAGGGUAUGGCUGUUCGCCAUUUAAAGUGGUACGCGAGCUGGGUUUAGAACGUCGUGAGACAGUUCGGUCCCUAUCUGCCGUGGGCGCUGGAGAACUGAGGGGGGCUGCUCCUAGUACGAGAGGACCGGAGUGGACGCAUCACUGGUGUUCGGGUUGUCAUGCCAAUGGCACUGCCCGGUAGCUAAAUGCGGAAGAGAUAAGUGCUGAAAGCAUCUAAGCACGAAACUUGCCCCGAGAUGAGUUCUCCCUGACUCCUUGAGAGUCCUGAAGGAACGUUGAAGACGACGACGUUGAUAGGCCG